rnacentral:lncRNA from 1 species
GAGAAUCGUAGGCCUCUCAAGAACAACAUAUAUUUUAGCAAGGCAGAUCUGCUCAUUGAAUGCACAUCUCAUCUGACUCUGAGGCUGGAAGAGUGUUUUCGGAUCAUGAAGGAGAUUGAAUCAGAAAGAACAACUUACAUCUUUUGGCAAAAACUACAGGUAUGAUCAGGAUGGUGAAGAUAAGAUUUCUUGUACCUGUGUUAGGAGUAACCAGACCUAAGAGACAAG